AGUGGUUGUGUUGUAAUCGAAUCCCCAAAAGUCACAUUCACACAUUUUUUUAGGUCACAAAUUAACCAAUGGUCACAACACUCAAACAAUGAUCACACUCUUCCUUCCCACUCGACUACCAUCUCCGUCGCCAUCACCACUGCCACCGCCACCUCUACAGUCACCACCAUCACCACCACACCAAUAUCAACUCACCAUCACCGCCAGCAGUGCCACUAUUUCACCACCACCACACCUUCGUAGUUGCCAGCCAACAAUUCUAAAACCACCACCACACCUAUAUCAACCACAAACCACCAUCACAACAACCACACAAACCACCACACACCACAAUAAUCGCACAAAAAUCACCAUAGCAACCAUCAACCACACAAGCCACCAUAUCCAUCGGAGAAAUCAAACUCAGAAAUUAAAAAAAGAGAGAGAUAGAGAGAAAAGAAAAUAACAGAUCUACUGACGGGCAGCCGCCAUCACCAAGCACGAAGGAGCAUCGUUGGAGUGGGUUUGCGUCACCAAGCACCAGAUCAUCAGAUCGUCGGAGUGGGUGUGCGUUUAGAGUCGUCGGAGUGG
rnacentral:lncRNA from 1 species